GCCGCUCUAGGCCAACCCUCGAAGGCCGAGGUCCUCCGACGUUGACGUGCUCCGCCCCAGCGGUGCGUUUGCCGGGUGGCGCGUGCGCGUCUUGCUCCGCUGCGGGCGGUUAACGGUCGCGCUCGCGCCGCUCUUCCCUCUCUCCCUCCCCCUCCCCCCCCUCAGCCUCUGCUCGCGCGGGGCUGCCGGGGUUCGGUGCCUUCGAGAAGUUUCCCUCGCUCAGGGCUGAGGUGACCGUUAGGGAGUCUCGACAGCCCCCAUGCACCUGCCGCGUCAGCCUUCCACGGGAGUCUCGUUUCCUUAAGAAAUCGGAAUUCAGCCACGAUUCAUCCUUAGGAGGAGCCAAGUCCAAACUCCAAAGACCGGGAGCUGACUUAAAGUUCUUUACUGGAGUCUGCAUGCUUUAACUUCAAGAAAGAUCUUAUGGGACAUACACAUUGUGGCAGAGAAGAAUGGUACCAAUGAAGAACAGAUUGACAGUGAAACUUCAAGUAUGUUCAUGCAUGUAAUAUAAUAAAUGCAUAAUCAUUUGCUGAUUAUAGAAAUGU
rnacentral:lncRNA from 1 species